rnacentral:tRNA from 1 species
GAGCCUGUGGCUCAAUGGUAGAGCGUUCGACUCAAAUACCAAAGGUCGCGGGUUCGAAUCCCAGUUUGCCACA